CUGCUGUGCAGUGGCACGUGGGAAGCGGGAUACUACAGCUGAGCAAUAUCUUGUACUUUGUGGCUUGGUCCACUCUUCAGCCUCAGCCAGGUUACCAAGUUUGAUCGACCCGAUUUUUUUCUGAGAAGAUGCCUCCAAAAAAAGACGCAACCUCAUUGUCAAUGCACAUGCCCAACGGGUGUGGAAGAUGGCAC